rnacentral:rRNA from 1 species
CAACUUUCCCAUGGGGCCGAGAAUCUAGUCAAACUUGGUCAUUUAGAGGUCGUAAAAGUCGUAACAAGGUUUCCGUAGGUGAACCUGCGGAAGGAUCAUUACUGUGAUUUAGUACUACACUGCGUGAGCGGAACGAAAACAAAAACACCUAAAAUGUGGAAUAUAGCAUAUAGUCGACAAGAGAAAUCUACGAAAAACAAACAAAACUUUCAACAACGGAUCUCUUGGUUCUCGCAUCGAUGAAGAGCGCAGCGAAAUGCGAUACCUAGUGUGAAUUGCAGCCAUCGUGAAUCAUCGAGUUCUUGAACGCACAUUGCGCCCCUCGGCAUUCCGGGGGGCAUGCCUGUUUGAGCGUCGUUUCCAUCUUGCGCGUGCGCAGAGUUGGGGGAGCGGAGCGGACGACGUGUAAAGAGCGUCGGAGCUGCGACUCGCCUGAAAGGGAGCGAAGCUGGCCGAGCGAACUAGACUUUUUUUCAGGGACGCUUGGCGGCCGAGAGCGAGUGUUGCGAGACAACAAAAAGCUCGACCUCAAAUCAGGUAGGAAUACCCGCUGAACUUAAGCAUAUCAAUAAGCGGAGGAAAAGAAACCAACAGGGAUUGCCUCAGUAGCGGCGAGUGAAGCGGCAAGAGCUCAGAUUUGAAAUCGUGCUUUGCGGCACGAGUUGUAGAUUGCAGGUUGGAGUCUGUGUGGAAGGCGGUGUCCAAGUCCCUUGGAACAGGGCGCCCAGGAGGGUGAGAGCCCCGUGGGAUGCCGGCGGAAGCAGUGAGGCCCUUCUGACGAGUCGAGUUGUUUGGGAAUGCAGCUCCAAGCGGGUGGUAAAUUCCAUCUAAGGCUAAAUACUGGCGAGAGACCGAUAGCGAACAAGUACUGUGAAGGAAAGAUGAAAAGCACUUUGAAAAGAGAGUGAAACAGCACGUGAAAUUGUUGAAAGGGAAGGGUAUUGCGCCCGACAUGGGGAUUGCGCACCGCUGCCUCUCGUGGGCGGCGCUCUGGGCUUUCCCUGGGCCAGCAUCGGUUCUUGCUGCAGGAGAAGGGGUUCUGGAACGUGGCUCUUCGGAGUGUUAUAGCCAGGGCCAGAUG